rnacentral:rRNA from 1 species
ACGGAAGGCAUCAGUGGGGAAUAUUGCACAAUGGGCGCAAGCCUGCUGCCUCGCUGCCGCGUGAGGGAAGAAGGUUUUCGGAUUGUAAACCUCUGUCAACAGGGACGAAAAUGACGGUACCUGUGAAGGAAGCUCCGGCUAACUACGUGCCAGCAGCCGCGGUAAUACGUAGGGAGCAAGCGUUAUCCGGAAUUACUGGGUGUAAAGGGAAUGUAGGCGGGACUGUAAGUCAGAUGUGAAAUAUGCCGGCUCAACUGGCAGACUGCAUUUGAAACUGCGGUUCUUGAGUGAAGUAGAGGUAAGCGGAAUUCCUAGUGUAGCGGUGAAAUGCGUAGAUAUUAGGAGGAACAUCAGUGGCGAAGGCGGCUUACUGGGCUUUAACUGACGCUGAGGCUCGAAAGCGUGGGGAGCAAACAGGAUUAGAUACCCUGGUA